ACAUGCAGUCUGUGGAGAUCCAGAAGCAGUGCUUAACCCGUCUAUCUGGACACUUCUCUUGGCUGUGCUGGAGCAUCAUCCCAUGGGUUUGGCCUGUGCAAGCCUACCUGUGAGUCGGCACUUCUUUAAUAAUCUCAAAUCUCCAGGAUAUUUACUGACAUCUUCAUAUCAUCACUCCAGCCUCAUGAAUGGAGCUAGAAGAUGCCACAAGCACUGCCGGAAACCAGUUGCUGCAGAAUCAGCCGCCAUUCUGAAAGAAAAAGAUUUUUCUGGCUUGCCUCUGGGAAAGCAAUAUUGUCCGCAUUUGUAUUCUGAACCAGACUAAAGGAAGAAGCAUUGAAACAGGGAAUUACUCUAUGUUUCUGAUUGGAUUGCAGCUUUGGGAGCUGCAAAGCGGGUUUCAUGCAAACAAAAAAAAGAGCGAGCAAGUGAGAGAGAUUAUAUACUUCUCUACCGUGGGAGAAAGGUAACAUCCAAGAUGUAAAAUGCACGCAUAAAUUGUUUUCUGCACUGCUUUGCGCCUUUCUAUCUCAGCUAUCUAACACACAUACUUAAAUAUCUAACCCUUGGAUCCAGAUAUGAAAGUAUUUAUUAUUGUGCAUCUUUGG
ensembl:lncRNA